rnacentral:rRNA from 1 species
AAGCAUCGGCUAACUCCGUGCCAGCAGCCGCGGUAAGACGGAGGAUGCAAGUGUUAUCCGGAAUCACUGGGCGUAAAGCGUCUGUAGGUGGUUAAAUAAGUCAACUGUUAAAUCUUGAGGCUUAACUUCAAAAUCGCAGUCGAAACUAUUAGACUAGAGUAUAGUAAGGGUAAAGGGAAUUUCCAGUGGAGCGGUGAAAUGCGUAGAGAUUGGAAAGAACACCAAUGGCGAAAGCACUUUACUAGGCUAUUACUGACACUCAGAGACGAAAGCUAGGGGAGCAAAUGGGAUUAGAUACCCCAGUAGUCCUAGCCGUAAACAAUGGAUACUAGAUGUUGAACAGAUCGACCUGUGCAGUAUUAAAGCUAACGCGUUAAGUAUCCCGCCUGGGAAUUAUGCUCGCAAGAGUCAAACUCAAAGGAAUUGACGGGGGCCCGCACAAGCGG